UGUCGUCGUCCACCUCGAACCCUUUAACUCUUUUUGGACCUCCCCUCUCCCUGAACCGAACUCGACCUAGAAAAGGCAUCGAUCGCCGGUGAUGGCAUCGUUUCUCUCAUCUUUCAAGUACGCCGACAGCCUUGUGGUCGUCGGCAUCUCCAUAGGCACGGCAUUCUUAUGCGAAGGGAUCUCAUGGAUCCUCAUCUACCGCACCAAUACCUAUAAAUCCCUCCGGUCUUCCAUUGAUAAGGCCUCCAAAAAGCUCGAAUCCAUGAAAUCCCCCGCUUCCACCGCUUCCGCUGAUGGUGCAUCUGCGAUCCCCUCCACCGGUCGGCGAUCCUCCUCCCGCGUAAAGAAGAUGGAUCGGGUUGAGAGCAGCCUCAAGGAGUCCACGCGCGACCUCUCCCUCUCGAAGUUUAAGUCUGGAUUCGUCGUUGCGGUGGUGCUCUUCGUCAUCUUCGGCCUCCUUAAUUCCAUGUUCGAGGGCCGGGCUGUGGCGAAGCUGCCCUUCUCGCCUGUGUCGUUCGUGCUCAAGAUGAGCCAUCGUGGGAUACGUGGUGAUGAUCCCACGGAUUGUUCUAUGGCCUUCCUAUAUUUUCUCUGCUCGAUUAGUAUUCGGACUAAUCUUCAGAAGUUUUUGGGCUUCGCUCCGCCAAGGGGCGCCGCGGGGGCGGGGCUAUUCCCGAUGCCAGAUACCAAGACUAGUUAACUUGAGGAAACAUUGAAGAAUCGAAGAUUUUUUAUUGGGAGAUCAUCAUUAGCAACAACAACAAUAGGAUUUUGGAUUGGAACAUAUGUUUGUGCUUUAGCAGUGACAUUCAUAACAUUGGUUGAUUUUAAUUGCUCUUCUGCGUAUUUUAAGGGAGGGCGCGAAUCACCAUUCAAAGAGAGUUCAUCCAAUCCAAUUCGUAAUUUUGAUAUACCGAUGAAAUUCCUAUCAAAUACUCAAUAUUUUUACCAUAAUCUUUUAAACCCCUCUCUAUUUUAAGAUGUAGAAUAAGUGUAUUGCUUAAUAUUAGCAAACCUCUAACAAAAUUACAGAUUCACUACAGAACCCACCUGCAGGAAGCUCACUUCUUGCCUAUCUUGAUCAUGUUAACUAUCCUGCUUAAGCUUUCGUUACUUUUAAGGUUUGACCGUCAGUUUAUUUGUGCAAUGAUUAGUAAUUGUUUCUGCAUCUUUAUGUUGUAUCGAUUGCGUCCGCAUUGUUCGCACAUUUUCUCCAUAAAGGAUUGUUUAUUUCUUCUUUCUA